rnacentral:rRNA from 1 species
GGGAAGUAAAAAGUCGUAACAAGGUUUCCGUAGGUGAACCUGCGGAAGGAUCAUUAUCGAGUUUUGAAUGGGUUGUCUGCUGGCUCGCAAGGGCAUGUGCACGCCUGUCUCAUCCACUCUCAACUUCUGUGCACUUUUCAUAGGCCGGCUUGUGGGUGCGUUCGCGCACUUGUAGGUGUCGGGCUUAUGCUUUACUACAAACGAUUCAGUUUUAGAAUGUCAUACUUUGCUAUAACGCAAUUUAUAUACAACUUUCAGCAACGGAUCUCUUGGCUCUCGCAUCGAUGAAGAACGCAGCGAAAUGCGAUAAGUAAUGUGAAUUGCAGAAUUCAGUGAAUCAUCGAAUCUUUGAACGCACCUUGCGCUCCUUGGUAUUCCGAGGAGCAUGCCUGUUUGAGUCUCAUGGAACUCUCAACCUUCAGCUUUAUUGAUGAAGGCUUGGACUUGGAGGUCGUGCCGGCUCUCGUAGUCGGCUCCUCUGAAAUGCAUUAGUGCGAACGUUACCAGCCGCUUCAGCGUGAUAAUUAUCUGCGUUGCUGUGGAGGGUAUUCUAGUGUUCACGCUUCUAACCGUCUUCGGACAAAUUUCUGAACUCUGAGCUCAAAUCAGGUAGGACUACCCGCUGAACUUAAGCAUAUCAAUAAGCGGAGGA